rnacentral:rRNA from 1 species
CCUACGGGAGGCAGCAGUGGGGAAUUUUGGACAAUGGGCGCAAGCCUGAUCCAGCAAUGCCGCGUGAGUGAAGAAGGCCUUCGGGUUGUAAAGCUCUUUUGUCAGGGAAGAAACGGCUGAGGUUAAUACCUUCGGCUAAUGACGGUACCUGAAGAAUAAGCACCGGCUAACUACGUGCCAGCAGCCGCGGUAAUACGUAGGGUGCAAGCGUUAAUCGGAAUUACUGGGCGUAAAGCGUGCGCAGGCGGUUUUGUAAGUCUGACGUGAAAUCCCCGGGCUCAACCUGGGAAUUGCGUUGGAGACUGCAAGGCUGGAGUCUGGCAGAGGGGGGUAGAAUUCCACGUGUAGCAGUGAAAUGCGUAGAGAUGUGGAGGAACACCGAUGGCGAAGGCAGCCCCCUGGGUCAAGACUGACGCUCAUGCACGAAAGCGUGGGGAGCAAACAGGAUUAGAUACCCUGGUAGUCCACGCCCUAAACGAUGUCUACUAGUUGUCGGGUCUUAAUUGACUUGGUAACGCAGCUAACGCGUGAAGUAGACCGCCUGGGGAGUACGGUCGCAAGNUUAAAACUCAAAUGAAUUGACGG